rnacentral:rRNA from 1 species
UGUACUGCGGAGGACAUUAACGAAGUUUCAACGGCAUGAGCUGGCGCACUUCUGUGUGCAUGUGCUCGGUCGUUUUCCUUCUAUCAACCCAUGUGCACUUUAAUUAAGGAUCGGAGGGAAGCGCGUCCGGAGGAUUAGCGUAGUACUUGUGGGUCCGUCCUGCUGGGAAAGGUUAAUCUGUCGAUUGGCGCGUGGUACUUUCGUUCCCGAUUUACAAACCACUAUUGUAGUCUUGUCAGAACGUUCAGUCCUAUGGGACGCUAAAUAUAAUACAACUUUCAACAACGGAUCUCUUGGCUCUCGCAUCGAUGAAGAACGCAGCGAAAUGCGAUAAGUAAUGUGAAUUGCAGAAUUCAGUGAAUCAUCGAAUCUUUGAACGCACCUUGCGCCCUUUGGUAUUCCGAAGGGCACGCCUGUUUGAGUGUCAUGUUCGUCUCAAUUCCUAAGAUUUGUUUCUUGGUGAAUUGGAUUUGGGAGCUUUGCUGGCCUGUCGAAGGUCGGCUCUCCUUGAAUGCAUUAGUGGGCAUCUGACUCGCGUUGCUGGUGUGAUAGUUUAUUCAUCAUCGGCGGCGCCUGUCUAAUGGGUCUGCUUUCGAACCGUCUUCUCAACGGAGACAAACAUUUUUUGAAUCGUUUGACCUCAAAUCAGGUGGGACUACCCGCUGAACUUAAGCAUAUCAUAAAAGCGGAAGGAAUU